GGAUGUGAGGGCAAUCUGACUGUUACAUUUGUCACCCUCAUUGAUCGCCAGCAUUGAUUUGGCUGGUCUGGGUGGCUAGGUGGGUGUCCCCUUCUUCCCUCACUGCUCUAUGUGCGUUCCUCCCAAAACUGCACGUGCUGGGUUGAAGAGGACAACCACCCCCAAAUAGAGGAGGACCAUUUCCUUGGUCAGGAUUAUACAAGUAGCUGUGUUGUCCUGCUAGAACCUCCAAACAAGCUCUCAAGAUAAAUCUAGAAACUACGCAGAUCAUAAUUGCACACCUUGAUGAUUAAUCAAGUGAAUGCACUCA
ensembl:misc_RNA 7SK 7SK RNA